ACCUGAGGAAAUGUUGUGAAUGAACAUUCGACAUAUAGAGGUUGCAACAUGAGUCACAACGUGGAAGAAGUGUUGUCAACAGACAUAACUACAAUUGGAUUGUAAUCUUGCAGACAUGUGGGAAAGGAGAAGUCUUCAGCAUGACUGAAAUCACUAGAAUCUGGUGAUUUUAUCUAAAGAAUGGAAAUGUGCAAAGAUGUGAUAUGAUAGCGAACCAUAGCUGGGCUGCAAAGAGGCUCCUAAAUAUUACAGCUCAAAUGAGCGAAACGUAAUGGCGAAAAAGGUGUAUAUCGACUGUGUCCGCUGAAGAGUCUCAAAAGUGAACCACCCGAUGUCGAAAUUAUGGAUUCUUGUAAAUCUGACGUUGGGAGUUGAACAUUUUUUCAACCUGGGUGUCAAAGCCUCGUAUUUGUUCAUGAAUGACUCAAGUUUGAUUUCUACGACUGCCGCAAAUCUGAUACUAGUGUAGUUUUCAUUCUAACAAUGCCUUGAUUCUUUUUUUGACAUUUUUGAUAGUUCGAUAUUGUUUUUACUUUUUCUUUCAUCUCACGACUGCCUGAUCGAAAUCCUACAAGAGGGUGUUAUAUUUUAAAUGAUAAAAAACCUCUUCCUUGACGAAACUUCCUAAAUUUAUGGUGAAUCAUCAGUAAAUAAAACUAAUUGACUCGAUUUUUUUUAAACGCAGUACAAGUAAGCAAUAAAUUCCUUAUUUUUAAAAAAGAAAUUAUAAUUAAAUAAAUAAAUUAUAAUUAAAUAUAAUUUGUAAAACAGUUGUAUAGCAGAUUUUUUCUCACUUAAUGUGGAAACCCGAAGUGACCUUUGUACCCCUCCAAGUUUCCUGGUAUAACCUUUAUAACUGAAAUAUAACCUGUGUACGAAUUCAUGGAAUUUGUCACA